rnacentral:lncRNA from 1 species
AAAUUGAUCUGGACUUAAAUAUUUUGAUUGUGAUAAGUGUUUAUUUGUGAUUCAAUGGUUGUGGAACAUGUGUGAUAAUGUGAUUAGGUUAUGUGCUGACUGCAAAAUGCAGUACAAUGUGUUAUAGUAUAUUGUUCUAAUCAAACGAAUGAUUUGAUUAAUGAUAGGUCGUGAUAUAAAAGGUAGAACUAAGUUGCAUUUUGUAAACAGCAGAUCAGGCAAGUAUCGUACCUUUGCAUUUCCUUUAUGCAAUGGAUAUAAGUAAGAAGGUUUCAGAAAUAUAUUAUUAUUAUGCUAUAUUAAUAAC